rnacentral:rRNA from 1 species
GACGAACGCUGGCGGCGUGCCUAAUACAUGCAAGUCGAACGCAAAACUUUCACCGAAUGCUUGCAUUCACGAAAGUUUUGAGUGGCGAACGGGUGAGUAACACGUGGGUAACCUGCCCAGAAGAGGGGGAUAACACUUGGAAACAGGUGCUAAUUCCGCAUAAUAACAAAAACCGCAUGGUUUGUGCUUGUAAGAUGGGUUUGUUAUCACUUCUGGAUGGACCCACGGCGUAUUAGCUAGUUGGUAAGGUAAAGGCUUACCAAGGCAAUGAUACGUAGCAGAACUGAGAGGUUGAUCGGCCACAUUGGGACUGAGACACGGCCCAAACUCCUACGGGAGGCAGCAGUAGGGAAUCUUCCACAAUGGACGAAAGUCUGAUGGAGCAACGCCGCGUGAGUGAAGAAGGUUUUCGGAUCGUAAAACUCUGUUGUUAGAGAAGAACGUGUGUGAGAGUAACUGCUCAUGCAGUGACGGUAUCUAACCAGAAAGCCACGGCUAACUACGUGCCAGCCGCCGCCGUAA